GGGUACGAGGGUAAAGUGGUCGAGCCGCCUACCUGUCACGUAGGAGAUAGCCAGUUCAAAUCUGGUCGUACCCGCCA
rnacentral:tRNA from 9 species